GGUGGCUCAGUGGUAGAGUGCUUGCCUAGCAUGCAUGAAGUCCUGGGUUCCAUUCCUCAGCACCA
rfam:Dipodomys ordii contig_14116, whole genome shotgun sequence.